UACGUAGGUGGCAAGCGAUACUCGGAAUCACUAGGCGUAAAGCGCAGGUAGGCGGUUUGGUAAGUCUUUUGUGAAAGCUCCCGGCUUAACUGGGAGAGGUCAAGGGAAACUACCGGACUAGAGUGUGGUAGGGGAUACUGGAAUUCCUGGUGUAGCGGUGAAAUGCGUAGAUAUCGGGAGGAACACCGGUGGCGAAGGCGGCGACCUGGGUAGAUACUGACGCUGAGGUGCGAAAGCGUGGGGAGCAAACAGG
rnacentral:rRNA from 1 species